rnacentral:rRNA from 1 species
AGCGAACGCUGGCGGCGUGCUUAACACAUGCAAGUCGAACGGGUGUAGCAAUACAUCCGUGGCGAACGGGUGCGUAACACGUGGAUAACCUUCCUUCAGGUGGGGAAUAACCCAGUGAAAAUUGGGCUAAUACCGCAUAACAAGACGAGGGCACAUGCUUUUGUCUUCAAAGCAGCAAUGCGCCAGAAGAGGGAUCCGCGGCCGAUUAGCUUGUUGGCGAGGUAAUGGCUCACCAAGGCAAUGAUCGGUAGCCGGACUGAGAGGUUGGCCGGCCACACUGGAACUGAGACACGGUCCAGACUCCUACGGGAGGCAGCAGUGGGGAAUCUUGCACAAUGGGCGAAAGCCUGAUGCAGCAACGCCGCGUGGGGGAUGAAGCUUCUCGGAGUGUAAACCCCUUUCGACCCGGAAGAAUGUCCCGCAAGGACUUGACGGUACGGGUAUAAGAAGCCCCGGCUAACUACGUGCCAGCAGCCGCGGUAAUACGUAGGGGGCCAGCGUUGCUCGGAAUUACUGGGCGUAAAGGGUCCGUAGGCGGUGUGGCAAGUCGGGAGUGAAAUCUCUGGGCUUAACCCAGAGGCUGCUUCCGAAACUGCCGUGCUAGAGUGUGAGAGAGGCGAGUGGAAUUGCGGGUGUAGCGGUGAAAUGCGUAGAUAUCCGCAGGAACAUCCGAGGCGAAAGCGGCUCGCUGGAUCACAACUGACGCUGAGGGACGAAAGCUAGGGGAGCAAACAGGAUUAGAUACCCUGGUAGUCCUAGCCCUAAACCAUCAGGACUUGGGGUUUGCCCUGUACGGGGCAAGUCCCGUAGCUAACGCGUUAAGUCCUGCGCCUGGGGAGUACGGUCGCAAGACCGAAACUCAAAGGAAUUGACGGGGGCCCGCACAAGCGGUGGAACAUGUGGUUCAAUUCGACGCAACUCGAAGAACCUUACCUGGGCUUGAACCGCACAGGACCAGUUCUAGAAAUAGGACCUUCCCGCAAGGGACCUGUGUAGAGGUGCUGCAUGACUGUCGUCAGCUCGUGCCGUGAGGUGUUGGGUUAAGUCCCGCAACGAGCGCAACCCUUACUCAUAGUUGCCACCCGCAAGGGGGAACUCUAUGAGGACUGCUCCGGAUAACGGAGAGGAAGGUGGGGAUGAGGUCAAGUCAGCAUGGCCUUUAUGUCCAGGGCUACACACGUGUUACAAUGCGCGCCACAAAGCGUUGCAAACCCGCGAGGGGGAGCUAAUCGCAAAAAAGCGCGCUCAGUUCGGAUUGCAGUCUGCAACUCGACUGCAUGAAGCCGGAAUCGCUAGUAAUGGCGCAUCAGAACGGCGCCGUGAAUACGUUCCCGGGCCUUGUACACACCGCCCGUCACAUCACGAAAGUGGGUUGUACUAGAAAUCGCCGUGCCAACCGCAAGGAGGCAGGCGCUCAAGGUAUGACUCAUGAUUGGGGUG